rnacentral:rRNA from 1 species
UACGUAGGGUCCGAGCGUUGUCCGGAAUUAUUGGGCGUAAAGAGCUCGUAGGCGGUCUGUCGCGUCGGCUGUGAAAACACGGGGCUCAACUCCGUGCCUGCAGUCGAUACGGGCAGACUAGAGUUCGGUAGGGGAGACUGGAAUUCCUGGUAUAGCGGUGAAAUGCGCAGAUAUCAGGAGGAACACCGGUGGCGAAGGCGGGUCUCUGGGCCGAAACUGACGCUGAGGAGCGAAAGCGUGGGGAGCGAACAGG